GAAUUAGGUGGUAAAUUAUGAUACCAUAUCAUAACACCCUUCAAUAAAGUCUCCCCAAAUUUUUUCAACAAGACGGAUUCAAUCUCGUCAUCUUCCAAGUCAUUUCCUUUGAUAGCACACGUGUAGGAGGUGACAUAUUCAUUUGGAUUAGUCGUCCCGUUAUAUUUAGGAAUCUCGGUCAUACAGAACUUUUUGGGGAUUGGCUUCGGAGCUGCGCUUGGAGGGGGGAGGAAGCUUUUGUACAAACAUUUUGGAAUCUGGACCUUUCAAUAUUGGUGGAGUUCCCGGGAUCUGGUCGACCCUGGAAUUAUAGGUUUCUACCUUCUUGUCAUUUUCCUCGAUCUUCUUUUCCCCUGUCUCAAUUCGCUUUGUCAGUUCUUCGAGCAUCUUAAUGAUAGAAGGGUUUGUCUCCGAUUCCUUCUCGCUCGACCUCUUUGAAACCAAUUUGACCCUAUGUAUGAUUUCCUGGGAUGGCUCGACUUCGACCCUGCUCGAUGUAUGAUUCUAAUUUUGGAGCUGAGCUAUUACUGCCUGUUGGGCUUGCAACAUUUCGAAGAUUACCUGCAGGCUGAUUUCAUUGUCGUGUGCAUUCUAAGUAGUUGAUCGGGUACCCCCACGAAUGCUGCUUUUGGGAUCGGCGGCCAAAUUUCCAUCGCAUGCGAGCUGACGUCGGUUGGAUCUAUAGCUGGAACAUUUCCUGGUGCAAUAUUCACAUUCACACCGUGGUAGCUGAGAUCAUUGUCAAUGUGUUGAGGUGCUGACUAAAAGUUUGACAUCUUUUAAUACUGUAAUAAAAAACACUUCAAAGAGCAAGCGUAAAAUAGUGUGUGUUUCAAAAAUUCGUACCAGGCAAUCACUAUUAUCCUUAGCCCCACGGUGGGUGCCAAACUGUUUACCCUUAAAAUUGGAUAACAAUUAAACUUAUAAGUGAUUUUAAGGAUAUGUGAUUUCACUUGGCAUAAACUGAGAAAUAUGAGAAUGAAUGUUAGAAAUUAACUGUAAAAUAAAGCAAAUCAAUAUAAUGAGCGGUUAUGGCUUUCGAGCUAGAUUGCCCUCGAACCAACAGAGUACGCUAAUAAAAAGUAUGAACUGAACAAUAGAUCUUAAUAGAGAAAAUGUAAUGUAUUGCUUUGUUAUGCGUGAAUAUGAUUAUUACAAAAUGAUUAGAACCCCAUUUAUAUAGUAGAGGAAUUCUACUUAUGGUACAAUUCUAAAUACAAAAGGAAAUCCCAUGAUUGACUAAAUGUCUGGCCUUGACUUGAUGUGUGCCGUGAUUUUCGCCAUGAUCCUUGCCCCCAUCACGGAUAUCUAGGCUUUGUAUUAUUUGACUUUAGGAGGCCUUCUUCGAUAUCACUCGAUCUCUAUCCCAUUUCGGUCUCAAUCACGGCCGGUCUCAUUCUUGAUCGAUUACUAAUUAAUGAACUUAUCAACCCAUCUCUAUGCCAUGGUUCGAUACAAUGCGAGGCAGAACUUUGAUCCGCCACCCUGGUUUCGAUUAGCCACACAAAAUUAGAGAAGCCCAAUUUUGACCGAUGUUAUAGAAUAGUUCGACAUUUGUAAAGAUUCACUUCCCCUGAUUCUUUGGAAAGUUGGAAUUGAUGAAGUAGAUUUGGAUAUAGAAAUUAUUAUUUUGGAAUAAAAUUGUAUUUGAAGUUAAGUUGAAUAACAGUAUUUGAAAUUUGAAAUUAUGUUUGGACAUGCAUUUUACUUGAAAAAAUGUUACAGUUUUGUAGGUGGAAUUUUUUUUUCUUGAAAAUUUUGAAAAAGUGGUCAAAACUAAUUUUUUGUUUUGAAAACCUCAUUUUCGAAAAGUUCCCAAAAUUUCAUAAACGAACAUAUUUUUGAAAAAAAAAAUAGAUUUUUUUUAAUAUGAACAAACGUAUCCGAAAUGUGUGCAAUUUAUUGAUGCUAGUAUAUUUUAAUUUGUAAAUAAAAACUUGGAUUUUUAUUGACAUCUCUUGCAAUAUGGAAAAUUUAUCCAAUUCCUUAGUAAAAGUUUCUUCCUAUCCCGUACUAAAAUCAGGGCAUAUGCAUAAAUUUUUGUAAGCCGUGUCAAAAUUUAUAGGAGAACGAGAAUAAAUAACUUUAAUUAUUAUAUUUUUAGAUAAAAAAAAAUAACUUUAAUUUAUUGGUAUCACUGAAUCUUAAGUUAAAUGAGACCCUCAAUUCAAUUUAAUCACAAUUUUAAAACCACAGAGGUUCUUUCAAAUAUUUGCAAAAAAAAAAUACAUGGUAGAUGAGCACAUAACCAACACGUCAGGAGACAAUUUGUGUCAAGCUGUGUUAUUCUUUUUCUAUUUAGUCGUUUUCUCACAAUAUUAAUACAUAUAUUUAGGAAAAAAAUUUGACGAGAUAGUGUGGCAUGACACCGCUUCAUAAUGUGCGUCAGCUCCUGACUAAAAGGACACAAUAUAAAUUCUUAUUUUGUGUUGUGGAACUAAAAAAGGCGGUAACAAUUUUGUUUCAACUUCAACACUUCUAUUACUUCAAUAGUGAAAAGAAUUAGAACUCAACUCAAAACUAUUACAGAAAUUAAAAAUACUAAUUAAAUACAAGAGAUAGAGAAAAUGGGAGAUGUGAAGCUCAAACUUAGAAUUGGAGAUGAGAGGAUUAAUAUAUUUUUCUCAACAAAAUUCACAUAACCCCAAAUCACAAAUGAUUGCCCUUUAUCAUAGAACCAUUCUUACGCGUGCUACUCGUCCAAUAUCCGAAAUUAAUUAGAAAUUGUCUCAUUUACAACUAAUAAUUGAAGUCACAGUUCUAAAAGUAAUUAAAAUAUAGUCACUUUUUCAUGUAAGGAUAAAAUCUGAACAAAAAUACUCUUAAAAAUCCGAAUUUUACAUUUGAGAUUCCAACAUAAUGUGUUGGAGUUCCACCAUAAUAUGUUGUAAGUCUAUACACAUGAGCUCCAUAAUCCAUCAUAUUAUGUUGAAACUUUCCGUAUUUUAGCUAAAAUAGUGAUUAUUUUUCGAUGACUUUACAAACACUGCUUAUUAUUUGAUUACUAAUCCGAAAAUUGGCUAGUCCAUGCUAUUUGGGGCAUUUGCAUCUAUACCCGUUUUUUGUGUCACGUUUUAACUUGUGCCCGCUUUGCAAAAAAUAUUGCAAGCGUACCCGUUUUUCGCAUAACUUCAACAUACGGGGCUGAAGUAGCAAAGACAAUCAUGCAAAACUUCAGCAUUCUAGUAGCCGGGCCUAAAGUUCAGCUUUAGAGUUGCAGUUUUUGUUUUGUAACUAGCGAACUUCAGCUCUAGAGCUGAAGUUUUUGUUUUGUAACUCUCGAACUUCAGCUCUAGAGCUGAAUUUUUGUUUUGCAACUGAUGAACUUCAUCUCUAGAGCUAAAGUUUUUGUUUUUGUAACUGGCGAAUUUCAGCUCUAAAGCUGAAGUUUUUGUUUUGUAACUGAUGAACUUCAGCUCUAGAGCUAAAGUUUUUUGUUUUUGUAACUGGCGAACUUCAGCUCUAGAGCUGAGGUAUUUAAAACCCUUGAGUAUGUACUGCUGAAGUUUCUAUUUUGGGGGAGGAAGAUUGACCUUUCAAAUUCCAUAUUCUAAGUAUGGAUAUGACUUCAUUGAUUUAUUCUCGAUCGAAACAUCGAGGAACGCACUAUGGUUCUGCUUGACCAUAGCAUCUCAACGAUGGAGACAGUGUCAAGGGGAUUCAGAGAAAUGCAAAAAUAUAUUUGAGAUUUGAACUAAUGACGUAAAAAAACAUUUUGAGCCACAUCAACCAUAUCACAAAAAGGUUUUCUUACGUUAUAAUUAUUUUAAUUAUGUAUAGUAAGAUAGCUUCUGAGGAAUUGAGUGAAGCCACAAAAAGAGAGAGAUAUUGUUACAUCAAUGUUAAGUUCCGGAGAGAUAUGGAGAUUACUGGGAGAAGGAGGAGAAAGGGGGCUGAAAUUGUUUAAAAAGUGGGUACAAGUUAAAAGUUAAAAAAAAAUAAGAAUAAAUUAAAUGGGGGCGACCAAAUAAGAUGCUCCGUGCAAUUUUUACAUGCUAUUUUCACCAAAUUAAUCUGGCCCUACUGCUUGUUCUCGGCCCAAUAAGUCUUGUUAGCCCAACAGCUACUUGUGUGACAUUGGGCUGUUGAUUCAUAACAAAGGCACACUUGUCAAAACGACAAGUCCGCGUCUUUCCCGAAACCGCCACUGCCUCAAAAUAACCCCUUUAUCAUACAAUCGCAAAUUCCAGAAUCCAGAAUUCCAGAUUCUACGCAACAUUUUCUUCAUUCGGUUGACAAAGGGAAGAGGUUUCUUUUUCCGAUCAGAAAAAAUGGCACUGAAUCCUCAACUAUUUCCAAACGGAAUGCCCGUCCCUUUCCUCAAUGAAUUGUUUGUCCUUUCUAGAGAUGGUGUUGAGUUUGAGAUCGAUAAAAUCCCUGGGUAACCGGCCUAACUUUUAUUUCUCUCUUUUAAAUUAGUUAUCUCUGAAAGAAUCGGAUCGAAAUGGAGUAAAAUGGAUAUUCUGGAAUUAGGAUUGAAAGAAAAUAGUUUGGGAUCGAGGUUUGAUUAUAGAUGCUAUCUUUCUAUUGUUUCUUUGGGUCUGUAUAUAGUGCAUCAUUAAUUUUUACCAUUUUCAUUUCGUUAAUCGUUAUCCGUAAUGGGUUUCUUUCUGUUGAACAUUUUUUUUUUGUGAUUCUGAUUUCUGCUUUAGAGAUUACUAAUAAAUGUUGGUCUGCUUACACGCUAUCUUCCCCACACCCCACUAUGGGGUUACAAUGGGUUUUUUUGUUGUUGUUGAGAACUUUGAGAUGAUGCAUUUGGAUAUGUUACAAUUGCAGUAGUUGGUGCUCCUAAUGCAUUAGGGGUUUUGCCUGCAUUUCUCUACCAUGGACACAAAGAGGGUGUUCAAAAAGCAGCAUCAAUAGCAGUAGCUGCAACAAUAUAAAUUGCACUUUUCAACUUAUGCAUGCUAUACUACUACUACCAUUUACUUCUACCUAUAAAAAACUAUCCACCAUUUGUUUCCAUUUAAUAUGGUUAUGGGGGUGAACUUGCUUGGGAUGCAGUAUGAACUGCUCAACAUGUGAGUACAGAUGUCUGUAUGAUUUUGGGCUUGCUAAGAUAUAUUCACAUGGAUACUUUAAAAGAAUUAAAUGUCUCAACACAGGCUUGGACAUUUGAUCAGUUGGUAGGUUAGUGCAUAAGGAAAUUAUUUAUACCACUUAGGUGGUAGUUAGAAAUUGCACAAGGAACUUAUUUAUCAUUUAUGUGGAUAUACGGUAUAGAGGAAUAAGGUAGUUAUUACAUUUGGCUGUUGAGUUUGCAUGGGAUGCCUGCAUUUGCUUUAUUUUGUGUUUAGUUCUACCUUUCUUUGAACACAUAAUUCUUGCAUUGCCCUCUCUUUUUUUCUUUCUCCUUUUCUUUAGUUUCUUUUAGUUCAUGACUUUGUGUUGACGAGACUGUUUGCUCACAGUGCAGGAAAAAUAAGAACAAGAGGAACGAUCUACUUGUCGAAUAUUCGGAUGGUCUUCGUUGCAAAGAAGCCGGAGGAUUUCAUUGCUUUUGACAUGCCCUUGGUAUGUUACACUUAUGUCCUACGUGCUAGCAGGGUCAUAUGUUGGGUUCCAGUUCCUCGUCUGAGAAGAUUUUUUCUCACGGAUCAAAGAAGACAACUUUUUUUUACUACUUUUACUAAAAUGUCAAGAUGUUAUUAUCAAAACCAUAGUAAAGAGGAAAUAUUUGUUUAAUCAAAGUGAAGGGAUAACGUGUUCAUCUCUGACUCCAUUGAUAGUUUCCCAAAAGUUAAAAAGGCGUGACCUUGUAUAGCGUUCCAUGAAAAUCAUAUGCAACCGGAACAAGAAAUGCAUAAUGUGCAAUUUAGGAUAUGGUGGUUUAGAGGUAAAAAAAAAGAAGAAGACAAUAUUCUUAUCCCAAGUUGCUUUACCUGCGUGUGUGCCACUUGCAUUGCUGCAGGUGGCAGAGCAGUAAACAUUUGAAUUUUGAAUACGUCGUAGCUCCGACGUGUAUAAGAUACCUAAAAGCCUGUUGUCUGGUUGAUGCUAGCUUCAUGUAGCAUACUAUUUCUUGCGUAUAUCACCUUAGAUUCGGCUCGUCCAGUGUUGGUCAAUCUUGCUGCUGUGCCUUUUUUUGUUGUUGGGAUAAGGUUGCUUCUGUAGUUUCUGGUACUUUCUCUGUUGCUUCAUGUCCCACGGUUUUCCUAGUGUUAUGCUUUGCUGAAUCCUGUUUUUUUUCUUGCUUUCGUUUUUGUUAAUCUUUUAGCUCUUUGUUCUCAAAAUAAUCCUAGAUUAUACAAGCUACUUUUGCUUGACCAAGUUUAACUUCAUUCUGCAGCUCUUUAUUCAUGAUGAAAAAUUUAAUCAACCAGUAUUCCACUGCAACAAUAUUUCCGGACAUGUUGAUCCGGUAAGUUGAAUAGAUAAAUUCAGAUAUGUUUGGAUUAUGCGCACUACUUUAGAUGAUCGAUUCUGGCCAAUUUCAGGUUGUUCCAGAUAAUGAAAACAGGGCUUUGUACUCCACACAUUCAUUCAAAAUUUUGUUCAAGGAAGGUGGUUGUGGGACUUUCGUGCCAUUAUUUUUCAAUUUAAUCGCCUCCGUGAGACGAUCUCAGCAACAGUCCACUGCAGAGCCACGGGUGGAUCCUCUCCAAGCUGCACAAACUCCAGUUGAUGAGAUGAUGAGACAUGCGUAUGUCACGUUGCUUGUACCUUUUACAAUUAAAAUUGUUAUAGAUCCUUUUUCUCAAUAUGCUAGCUGGUGUGCUGAAUACUUAUUGUUUUUGUCAAUUUUGCAGUUAUGUUGACCCCAAUGAUCCAACCAAAAUCUACUUGCAGCAGCCUAAUUCAGAGUCUGAACUCAGGCGUCGAUCAUACCAGUCACAGCCUGCUUAGAACUCGAUAUACCUCUUUGUUUAAAGCUACCUGAAUUUCGCGUUUUCUGUGACAAUGAGCUUGCAUGUGUAUAUUAUGUAAGGCUGGUAUAUGUUUCUUUCAGGUGUGCAUGGAUUAUAAUCUAUUAUAUGGGUGAUACACUAGACUAAUGACUUCCUACAAAUAUCUGUAAUAAUUUUGAAGCUCAUGUUCAUUACACGGGUAUAUAUACAGGGGCGGAUGUAGAGUGUUGAUGAAUUGAACCCUAGCUUUCGACGCGGAGUAAAAAUUCAUUAAAAUUACAAAAAUAAUAAAUAUGAACCCAUAAUUUUAAAAAUAUGAUGGAUUCAAUGCUAAAACAUUAAAAGUAGAACCCAUAGAGUUUAAAUCCUGGAUUCGCCUCUCUCUCUAUAUAUAUAGCAUAUUAGGUUUUGCACUGGAAGUGCAGAACACCUACUCCCUACCAGGGUAAUUUGAAAGAAUGGCUGUAAAAAUAAAUUGGUUGUAUUAGCCUGUAUGUUACAAAUUGGGUGCAAAAGAGUCUCUUUGCAGAAAUGUUGGGAGAAAGCUGCAUACAAUAUAUAUCCACUCCUUUUCAUAGUGAGGGGUGGAUCUUCCUUCUCUUGUGGGUUUAUCAUUGUGCUCAAUUCGAUCUAUAUACAGCUGAAUAUUUUUUAUAGGUUUUAUCUUAAAAUUUUGAAAUCCAUGCGAAGUUAAUAAAAAGUAUAUAAUGCCAUGGAAGCAAAUGAUGCAAUUGAUCCAUAUAGCCGCAGAGGUGGAUCAAUGUUUUCAAGAGGAUGGGUGAACUAAUUGUAAAGAGGUAGAGUUAGAAUUUACAUUUAACAUGUUUAAUUUUAGUCUAUGAACAACUCGCUACACUUUUGAAAUUACAAAUUCAAAAUUAUGUUCUUUUUGAAAUUUUAGUGAUUUUUAUAUAUAUCUAUAUUCCGUGUUGGAAAUAAGACUAUCCGAAAUGAAAUUUGAAUCGUUAAAUUCACUCGUAGAGGUGCAUCCAAUAAUUAUUGCACCAUAAGAGUUUUUGAGCAUGAGUGCACACAUAUAUUUAAGUAAUUUUGAAGAAAUAUAACAUCGCUAUACAUAAUUUAGGGAGAGGAGUAUGGGUAUUCUAAGACCUAGAUACGCCCCUACAUAUAGGUGAUAUCUACUAGUUGGAACUAAUGCAUGGUCAUCAUUGCUAAUAUUUAGGUUUAUGAUGCACCAUUUUCUAUUUGGUUAGAGAUUUGUAAGUGUUGGAGUAGGAAUUCAUCCUUAAUCCAAAAGUCAUAUUUUAGGAAUUUAUAGGUAGGAGAUAAGUUCCAAAGAAGAAUAGAAUCCUCAUAUACACUACACUACACUACAGAGGGAUAUACUUCAAAAUGAGUAAGAAUAACAACCGAAAAGGAGUACAAAUGGUACAGCAUGUUUCUGAAUAAAAGAUAUGCUACAAAACUUCUCAGUACGAAUCACCUUUUGUUUUUCUCGCCAAACAAGAAAAACAUUUCCAUCUAGGAUACAAAUGAACAAAGCCUAGUAGUUAAAUUUGCUUAAGAACUUUUUCAGCUGCAGCUACCGUCCUUUGAAUGUCCUCUGAAGUGUGUGNNNNNNNNNNNNNNNNNNNNNNNNNNNNNNNNNNNNNNNNNNNNNNNNNNNNNNNNNNNNNNNNNNNNNNNNNNNNNNNNNNNNNNNNNNNNNNNNNNNNNNNNNNNNNNNNNNNNNNNNNNNNNNNNNNNNNNNNNNNNNNNCUAAGCUAGUAAAUCCAGCCUCAAACUGUGAUGGUGCAAAAUAUACACCUUCCUCCAGCAUUCCCCUAUAGAAUCUGCCAAAUUUUUCUGUAUCACUCUUCUUUGCAUCCGAAAAGUUAUUGACAGGACCCUCCACGAAAAAGAAGCCAAACAUCCCCCUUAUGUACCCGCCACACAUUGCAUGCCCGGUCUUCUUUCCAGCAUCCAAGAUUCCUUGAGUAAGUUCACCCGUGAUCUUGUCCAAGUAGUCGUAUGUACCCGGUCCCUGUAACCGCUUAAGCGUGUGAAUUCCAGCAGUCAUGGCCAAUGGGUUUCCACUUAGUGUCCCGGCCUGAUACAUCGGACCUGCAGGUGCUACCAUCUCCAUAAUAUCCCGCCUUCCUCCGUAUGCACCUACUGGCAAGCCACCGCCGAUAAUCUUCCCAAGUGUCGUCAAAUCUGGAGUUAUUCCAAAAUACUCCUGAGCUCCGCCAUAUGCCAACCUAAAUCCAGUCAUGACUUCGUCGAAAAUAAGAAGUGCAUCAUUUUCUUUGGUGAUCUUGCGAAUGGCAGCAAGAAAAUCUGGAUUAGGUUGAAUGAAGCCAGCAUUUCCAACUACAGGCUCAAGAAUUAUAGCAGCGACUUCGCCUUUGUGCUCCUUAAAGAGGCUCUCAACAGCAGAAAUAUCAUUGUAAGGCGCUGUCAGUGUAUCAGUAGUAGCUGCCUUUGGAACUCCAGGGGAGUCGGGGAGUCCUAGGGUGGCAACACCACUGCCUGCUUUAACAAGAAAUGGAUCAGCAUGACCAUGGUAACAACCCUCGAAUUUGAUGAUCUUAGGCCGGCCAGUGAAAGCACGAGCCAGCCGUAGUACUCCCAUGCACGCCUCUGUACCGGAGUUGACAAACCGAACCAUUUCUAUGCUUGGAACAGCUGAAAUAACCAUCUCGGCCAGAGUGUUUUCAAGGAGACAUGGAGCACCAAAACUCGUUCCUUUCUUCAUUGUUUCAGCCAAUGCUGCUAACACCUGCAGGAAAAGGUCAUACCAGGAUUGUUGCGUCAAAAGCAACGGAAAAACAACGCAAAAUUUCACUCUUUUGUCUUCGUCCCUAGAUCUUCCACAAUCCACAACAACCAAGACCCUCCCCCCCCAUACAGUGCUAAGACAUUCACAAGACUCUCUUUCAAACACGUUUCUCAUUGUACAAUGCAAUAAGACAGAGGGGCAUAGAAGAUUUUGAGGUGUCUUGCACAAUAGUUAUUAAAGCUGAGCUCAAGAGAAUCCAGUUGACAUAUCGGUCUUCUUCUUUCUCAGAAAGGAGGAGAAACAAGUGGAGGAAGCAUUUAGACAAUUCCCACCUAGGUCUACCAUGUUCUACUUGAGUCUUCACUUUAUCAUGAGAACUGUCUAUGACAUGAACGUCAUAUAGCGACUUCCGUUUAAGAAAUGAACAAAAGAAAAAAAAUUAAACCAUAUGUUCUUGGAAAUCAUAAAAUUCAUCGAAGGCCAAAAUAAUUCCAGGACAAGGGUUCUAUUAAAAAAAACAUUUCUAACAUAAUGGGAGCCAAAAAAAAAACACAGCUUUAAGAUUGUGUUUCUGAAACAUGUUACCAAAUACAAAGCAUGCAGAUGCAGUUAUGAGCCAGGCCAAAUAAAUGCAGUGUAUUGAAAUUUCAAGCUGAACAUAGAGUUAAAAGCAGAAAAUUGAACCUCAUCAUCUGCAUGACCGAUUAUAGCUGGACCCCAUGAUCCGACAUAGUCAAUGUAGUCGUUACCAUCUAUGUCCCGCAUACGAGAGCCCUUCACGGAGUCAAUAAUGAUAGGUUGUCCGCCAACUGACUUGAAAGCGCGAACAGGGGAAUUUACACCUCCUGGCAUCAACUCCUACCAACAGUGAAACACGAGAUGCAAAUCAAUGGACUUGUAGGGACUUGAAAUCAAUAAAACUGAACUGGAAUCUUGUCUGCUUCCAUUUUUUUUAAUAUUAUGCUGCUAGAAGUUAAAAAAUAUAGAAUGUUGAGCACAACACAAAAAGAAUAGCACGAAUCAAGUGCAUCUGUAGAUUGACUGUUUGCACCAUAUAACUGAACUUUAACUUGUAUUUUCAGCGCCUCCUACUGAUGCAAACAACCACAGACAACUAGUUGAAAGUGCAAUUCCCUUUCAAACAAGGGAUUGUACAAUUCGUUCUUUCUCAAGCGCAUUUUCCUAACGUUUCCCCCAUCUAGAAAAUGUGAUAAGUUUUAGCAUCUUUCCCUUAUAAGUUCCAAUCUCAAUAAGUUACAUCAGAAGAUAUGUUAAAAAUAUAAGAAUAUGUAAAGGGAACAGAAACCAACUAAAGCAAACACACACAUUUUGCUACAUUAUCAGAUUACUCAGUAUAUCUCCUCUUUGUAGUCAAACACCUACAAUUUUCAAGAUAUUUAAAGAGUGUAAUAAAUUGCACCUUUUCAGCGCAACUACACACCUAAAACAUACUCAAGAUUCUCAUAGCGACACAUACAAAUGGCAAUUCAAUUAUAACUUAUAUGGGAGGAUAACCACAUUUUGUAUAUCAGCAGAGACGGAGCUAAGUUGAGAAAAAAGGGUUCAAUUGAAUCCACUUGGCCGCAAAAUUACACUGUGUAAAUAGGGCAAAAACGAACUUUUUUACUUCUUAUUAUAUUAAACUAUACCGGAAACAGCCUCUCUCCAGAAACAGACUAUCUGUCUGCUUGAAGGCAGCGUACACACUACCCUCCUCAGACCUCACUUGACCUCACUUGUGGGAUUACAUUGAGUUUGUUAUUGUCGUAUUAUAUUAAAGUAUUGAAUCCCCUUGACAUAAGGUAAGAUUCUAGCAAAGGAGUAAAUGCCGAUCUUGGAAAAUGCACCAAUUUUAUCAAACCAAAAUUUCCUCUUCUUCCUCUAACCCUUAAAGCUAGCAUUUUUACUAGCAAUAUUAGUAAUUAAUAUAAAAGAUUGAAUCUUGAAGCAACCCAAUUUCAAAACGAAAACUAAACACUGAACAAUAACCAUAAAAAAAAAAAAAUCGAAAUUGUACCUUGGCUUUGCUGAAAGCUUCUUCAGACUUUUGAAGAGUGAAAGUUUUCUUCUUUUCAUCAACUGAUGCAGUCAUUUUAAUUGUUGAAGAAGAUGGGGUGCAUCGACGGGGAGAUGGAGAGAAAACCAAUUUGGGUCUUUGACUUUGAGUCAAUUUAGAUGGCCAUGAAAUUCCAACACCAUUUACAGCAGCCAUUUUACCAACUUUGUGUCUCUCUGUUUUGAAUCUUCUUGAGUUGGUGCAGCAAUGGCUUUUUGUUAUGAAUUCUUGGUUUUUAAAGUGCCUUUUGAUGAAGAAGAUAAGGAAAAGUAGAUAGAGAAAUCUUAAAGAAAACGAAUGUGACAAAAUUUCUAAGAUGUCGGAAAAUUGGGCUUGGCCCAUGGUUCAAACAUCUUCUUUACGGAAGAUUUACAUAAAUAUCACCUUUUAAGAAAUAUGGGAGAAAUUUAAAAAUAGUCAGAUUUACAAGUGGUCAUUAAAAAAUAGCCACAAUUUCAAAGGUAAUCGAAAUUUGAUCACUUUUAUGUAAAGAUAAAUCUGAACGAAAACACUAUCCAAAAUCCGAAAAAAUACUCCAGCAUAAUAUACUGGAGUUUGGAGCACCGGUGCUCCAGUCUCCAGUAUAUUAUACUGGAGCCAGUAAAGUAUAUUGGUCCAGCAUAAUAUGCUGGAAGUUCAUACACAGGUGCACCAAACUCCAGUAUAUUAUGCUGGACCGAUCUCUGUUGCAGCAAAAUAGUGGUUAUUUUUCAUUGACUUGGUAAACGCUGUCUAUUUUUAAAUAACUAGUCCGAAAACUGGCUAGACCGUGCAAUUUUAACAAGAAAUAUUUUUCCAACCUUCCCCUCAUAGCACAAAUAGGAAUAUUUCAGACAUCUAUUUAACUUUUGUACCAUUUAAAUAAUUUUUA
rnacentral:lncRNA from 1 species